GGCGUUUCGAAGAUGGGCGGGCUAGCCUGAGUACGCCUUCCCGGCAGAGGUGUGAAAAGUCGCCCUUGGUCUUCAGCUUUCCGAAACGGGAGGCGUCUGUUGGGCCCAGGAUCUGUCCUGUGUGAGGUGGUAAAUUUUCGAGGGCUGCGGAGGGCCCUGCAGUUAUCUCGGGCCUGCGGUGGCAGGAAAAAGUGCCGGUCCGCGUGGGGCACAGAGUGGCUCUGGGUUUGCAGCCCCCGCCCCAGCUUUAAGUUGUUGAGGGUGUUUAUUUCUUUCUUUUUAUUUGGUUAUUUUAGAGAGAGAGUGGGGGAACGGGCAAACAGAGAGAGAGAGAGAGAGAGAGAAUCCCAAGCAGGUGUCAUGCUCAGCACCGAGCCGGAUGGGGGACUUGAACCCACAACCCAAGAAUCAAGACCUGAGAUGAAAUCAAGAAGAGGCUCAACCCAGUGAGCUACCCAGGAAUGCCCGAGUUCUAGGUUUCUAAGUCUUAUUUUCUCAGUGCCUGACCCGGCCCUCAUUGUAGCUCCGCCUCCAGAAGGGGCGGGCUCAGUCCCAGGAGGCAGGGACUACCCAGGUGAGGGCGUGGUGUACUGUGCAGUCCAAAUCCGCAUGCUGACCCUCUUCUGGGGCUUGGCCUCCACCCCCCCCCCUCCCCGCCCCCACCCUUUGCUUUAAGGCCGGGUUUCUCAGCCAAGCCACUGCUGACAUUUGGGGCCAGAUAAUUUUGUAUAUGGGGGCUUGUCCUGUGUACUGUAGGGUGUUUAUCUGCAUCCCUGACCUCUGCCCACAGGAUACCGGGGUUAUUCCUGCUGUUGUGACAGCCAAAAAUGUCUCAAGACUGCCAAAUGUCCCGUUGGGGGGAGGGGAGUCAUCUAGGUUAGAGCCGCUGUUGAUACCGGUUUGGGGGAAGUGACCCUUUUCAAAAGCAGGAAGCAAUGAAGUCUUGAUUACAAGAACCACUUGUGGCCUGGCUCGCCUGCUCUUCUCCCAAGAAGCUCUUGGUCUUGCUCCAUCGGCUCUAGCCAGAGGUUCUCCCGGAGUCGGAGCCGCCCCAGAGGAGAAGCAGGUCCAGGUCCAGAAGGCGCCACCAGAAAAAGCACGGGCGCCACUUGUGGUCUUACUCGCUGAGCGGGUGGAGUUCUCGCAGCAGUUUCUGGUGUCAGAAGUGGGAUCUGAACUAGUCCCCUGAAGAGCCCCAAGGGUGGUAAGUAACCGGGUGCCAGUACCUACCGAGCCCAUUGUUCUCACUGCUUUCUCACCAACCACGGAGUUCCAGGCAACAGAGAACUCCUGAAGAAAACCGCAUGCACAAAGACUUAGCCAAAUACUGCCAGUUAGCACCAGCGCCUACGGGACAGCAGAACCCACAAAACCCUGCACCUCUAUCCAGAAACGUCUAAUAACUUGCUAAAGUUUAAGUUUCCAACUUUGCAGUUAAACUUAUACUAUGGGUUAUCACCCAUGCCCGUGAGAUACCAAAGCCAACUUCUACAACGAUGCUGUCUGGAAAAUUCUCAAUAUCUUACUGAAGUUCAAGUUUACAAUGUUUUAAAGUUCAGUCCAUAUGGAUAAUGGAAUGAGAAUUGAAAUGGAAGUAGAUGUGGGUUAGCCCCAGUUCUCCUAGUAACUUUAGCCUGUCCGAAAGCGAAUCACGAAAAACUUGGAGACUGUUCCCUCGGAGGAUGACUGCGAUAGCUCAGUUUUCUUCAAUCUCUGUGUCUCUAAGUCUUUAACAGAUUGACUUUGAGUAGCACUACCUCUUGUUGGGGUUAGAAGAGGAAGCUAAAGUGCUCUUCACAGAGUUACUGUAGUUGAAGAUGCCCUAAGAAUAAGGUUAAUAUGUAGUAGCUGUGACAGUUUCUCAGACUUCCCUUGUUUUUGAUGGACAGGUUUGAGGAGUACCAGUCAUGAAUAUUGUAGGUGUUGAUGAUUUCUUAUGUGUAACAUUUUGUGAUUAAAAAUUACCAAUCAGGGGGCGCCUGGGUGGCUCAGUUGGCUAAGCGUCCAACUUUGC